rnacentral:rRNA from 1 species
UAAGACGAACCGUCCAAACGUUAUUCGGAAUCACUGGGCUUAAAGAGUGCGUAGGCGGCCUAGAAAGUUGGGUGUGAAAUCCCACGGCUCAACCGUGGAACUGCGCUCAAAACUGCUAGGCUUGAGAGAGAUAGGGGUGAGCGGAACUAAUGGUGGAGCGGUGAAAUGCGUUGAUAUCAUUAGGAACACCGGUGGCGAAGGCGGCUCACUGGGUCUUUUCUGACGCUGAGGCACGAAAGCUAGGGUAGCGAACGGGAUUAGAUACCCCGGUAGUCCUAGCUGUAAACGAUGAGCACUAGGUCGAGGGGACUUCCACAUCUUCUCGGCCGUAGCGAAAGUGUUAAGUGCUCCGCCUGGGGAGUAUGGUCGCAAGGCUG